GCGGGGUGGCUGAGAGUGGCCCCCUAGUGGGGCCAUGGAGAAGCAGGAAUCUCUGGGGGCUGCUGGCAGCCUCAAGGGAGCAUCCCCUGGAGGGGCAACCAGGGACGCGCUAGGAGGCAUCGGAGGAGUCGAAGGAGGCGCCGGGCUGCCCCCCGGAGUAAUCAUGGUUCACGGUUCUGGGCCCCCCGCGCAUCCUGGGGGGACAGCAGUCCUCGACCCCGGGCUCCACCAGCACCCUGGGGAGGUCGCGGGCCACAGCCAUGGGUUGGGUACACACCCUGGCGGGUUUAAUCCCCCCUUUCCUGGAACCAGUGUAUCGGGGACAUCCAACCUGGGGUCGGGGGGACCUGGGAUGUACAACUCAGGAUCCAUUCCGCGCCCUGGGUCAACUUGCACGCACCCCGACAAACCCUGUGAGGACCGGCCCCGAAGCAUCCUAAAAAACAGCAGCUCCAUCAUGAUGCACAAAUCCCCCAGGGCAGAGAGGAGAAAGUCUCAGCACUGGGAUGAAAUGAAUAUCCUGGCCACCUACCACCCUGCUGACAAGGACUAUGGAUUUAUGAAGGUGGAUGAGCCCAGCACCCCCUACCGCAGACUGCAGGACAGCGAAGAGGACCUGCUGGCGGGGACCUCCUACGCAAUGACUCCUGAGGAGUUGGCAGAGAGGUUAGCAACAAUGGAUGAUUUCUGCCCCAAGGUCCUUCUGUACAGUGAUCACAGAAGCUUCGGCUCUUCAGACAACUUUUCCAAGACACAACCCAGUGAUUUUGAAAAGCGCCGCAAGGCCCAUUACAAUGAAGGAAAGUACCUCAAGGCUCAGAAAAACCUGCCCUUGGAUCCUAACAAGAGCAGCCACGUGGGUGGCCUCGGUGUGAGCAGUGCCAGUCGAGGUGUGAUGCUGGACCCAGAGCUCAGGCCUGCGGAGAGAAGUGGGGCAGGAGGACUGACCAAAGGAGUCAAAGAUGAGAUUGGCCUGGCGGCCAGGAACCACAUCCUAGAAGCCAAAGGUGGCCGUAAGAGUCAGAUUGAUUUGAGGGACUCCUCGGAUUCCCCUGCCUUCAGAAGUCAGUCCCAAGUGUCAGCCACCCCCGUCACGGAGAAGGAGAUGGAGCUGCAGCGCAAGGAGUAUCACAGGAAAGGGAGGUACCUCAGGUGUUCUCCCCACCCUGAGCUGGAGGAGGACACAGAAGAUGAGCAGCAGUCCAGCUCCGCCAGCUUAAACUGGGUGAUUGAGAGUCCUGUGGGCACUGAGGUCCGCCUGCUGGACCACAAGAGAAGCCCCCCUCAGGAUCACAGGGCCCCCGAGAACUCCAUGAAGGUGACGGUGACACCAGUGAAGCCUGGUGAGGGCACCAGGCCACCAUCUUACCAGGCCUGGCUCUUGGCAAGCUCCCACCCCCCAACCCCUGCUCCUCUCGGGCCGGUUCAUCGGCAACAGGUCCUGCCCCACCCUUCAAAGACAGCGGGUCCCAAGCAAUGUCUGGCUGGUGUCAGUGUCUGGUGUCCAAGGGGCUGAAAUGGCAAAGCGCAGAAGGCUCAGAGAGGGAUGCUGGACGCCACCCAAACCUCCCAAGCCAGGACCAGCACAGACAUGAAACCCUGCGGCUUCGAUGGACUCAGGAGGAGGAAACCAGGCAAUGGAAAACGUAGCCAGCUAGGGGUGGGCACGGGCCAGCCUUCCCCUGCCAUCGCCACCUCUGUCAGGUGGACAAUAAAGAGAAGAAGAGCA